rnacentral:snoRNA from 1 species
UCUUCCGUGAUGGUCAUACAUUGACUUUCGUUCUUCUGAGUUUAAUGAAGCCAACAUUUCUGUACUGAGAAGA